GGAAGGUGCAAGCGUUAAUCGGAAUUACUGGGGCGUAAAGCGCGCGUAGGCGGCUAGAUAAGUCGGGUGUGAAAGCCCUGGGCUCAACCUGGGGAACUGCAUUCGAUACUGUCUAGCUAGAGUGUGGUAGAGGGAGGCGGAAUUCCGCAUGUAGCGGUGAAAUGCGUAGAGAUGCGGAGGAACACCAAUGGCGAAGGCAGCCUUCUGGACCAACACUGACGCUGAGGCGCGAAAGCGUGGGGAGCAAACAGGAUUAGAUACCCUGGUAGUCCACGCCGUAAACGAUGUCAACUAGCCGUUGGGAGCAUUUUGGCUCUUGGUGGCGCAGCUAACGCGAUAAGUUGACCGCCUGGGGAGUACGGUCGCAAGAUUA
rnacentral:rRNA from 1 species